UUUUCAAAAUUAUCUCGAGCGAGGGACAAUGAAUUAGAAUAAUCCGUUUAGUUAAAUUACAUAAAUCGUCUAUGCUCUUUUCAAUGGUGUAACUUUCAUGUUUUUCGGAUCGAUAGUUGAGAAAAUGUGCGCAUAGCAACGGCCCGGUAUUCACAUUCCCACGAUUUCACAUUACAAAAUGGUCAGAAUCAAUUGGUGGCAUUGGCAGCACUGAUCUAGCCAAAUGGAAGCCACAAAUGGACGUGUGACAUUGAAAUAUUACCAACAGUGGGUGUGAAUACGGUGUGAAUAUUCAAAGACGUACAAUGGAAGCUCGACUCUAUUCAAUUGAAUUCUGAAUUCAAUUUAAAAAAACAAAGUCCAUAAAAUGUAAAACCUUUUAUUUAUUUUGAAAAAAUCUUUGAAGUCUACUGCAAAGAAACCAUAUAUGAAUUUUUGUGAAAAAUACACACACACCGUUGGAUUUUUCAUGAAAUAAAUACAUAGAAAGCAAAAGUCAAUGUCAUUCUGUUCUGAGUGUUUAUACUUUAAAUUGAAAAAAAAACAUUUUUAUGGACUGGAAUUCUGAGAAGUGUGAGGUAUGGUGUUUAGGUGUGAUUUUAAGUAUGUAGACAAAGUGGAAUGAAUAGGACUCUUUGAGAGCAUGUGAGUAAAAGGUCUAGGGCGUUGUUUCCCUUUGUAAAUCUGGUUAGUUCCCCUAAGAAAUCGGUACAGAGCGGAUGUAUGUUCCAAACACAAUUCUUUGAGUUACAUAAUGAAGUGGAGAAAUAGUUUAAAUUAUUUCCAGUGUUAUUAUUUUAAAUAACCCAUUUUCAAUACACAUACACACAGCAAUUAUUUCUUAAUACAAACAGACAUGAAAAAAGCCUCUAACAAAAGUUCUGAAAGAUGAACAAAAACGUUGAAGGAAGACCAAACUUCUUGACGCGAAUUAAAAAGUGAAGAAUUAAAUUGAUGCUAUGGAGUGUAAAACAUUAUGUAGUAAAAAAAUUCGGGCCAAUUAUCUUGGUCUCCCUUCAACCAUUUUUUUCGAACAUUGAUAAUAUCAUUUUUGGAAAUGCCACCGAACAAAGUAAACUGUAAGCAUUCCCUGCUUGUAUUUAAAAGAUUUUGACAGUUUCAAAAGUUCGGGGCCUGACCAUAUAUCUCCAGCGCUGCUCCAACGAGGGCCACUGGUGAGCAGGCUCGUACGCUUAUACAGGACCUGCAUCGCAACAGAACGCACCCCAACGCAGUGGGCAAAUCCAGCUACGACAAUGACAAAGCGUUCAUAUCGAUCAGUCUUACCUCAUUCUUGUUGAAGACAUUGGAAAUGCUGGUAGAUAGACACGUGAGAGACGGCAUCCGGAUGUUCAGACCUAUUCAUCCCUCGCAGCACUCAUACCAGGUUGAAAAGUCCACAAAGACGACCCUCCAGGAACGAAUCUGUUAGGGGGUGAAUAAUGAAAUGAAUCUUAUUCCUCUGGAGUUGGAAAUUCGAGAGGUCUGAGUUGAUACACUAUCAACCUAACUGUUACACGCCGAAGAGGUCCCUUGUGUAAUUAGUUCAAGUUUUUUGAAAGGAUUGGAAUGAGUGAGGAUGUGAUGGGGGAAUAUUGGAAGACUUGGAUUUGUCGGAUCUAAACACUUCACUUGUUUUCACUACCUUUCCGUUUACUCAAAAAAGACACAGUUGUUACUAGAUGUAACUAGUAAGAGGUUCUAAAAAUUCAACUGACUAACAAUUUCACAAUAUCAGUCUUAUCCUUUUGUAAGAAGGACAUACACCUCAAAUCUCGAAUCGAAUCGAACAUAUCGAAAUUCCGUAACACUUAUUCGUGAUUGGUAGAUACAUUCACAGCGGCAAAAUUUGAAUUUCACAAGUACACAAGUAUCAAGUAAAUCAAGUCAAAGGAUGAGUUAAUUAGUAGAAAAUAAAAACUUAGUUAGAAAAUGGAAAUGAAACAAGUUACUCAUCAAAUGUAAAUAUCUAUAUCUUAUCGAAACUCCUGUAUUUUCCAAGUCGUCUUACAGCUUCAAGACAUUUAAAAUUUUGCAUGUUGCCUACAAGUGGGAAAUAGAUCAGCUGUGAAUAUAUCAGCAAUUUUUAAAGAUCCAUGUGUACGAAAUGAUGACGUGUUCAACGUCAUACGCGAUUAUUUCAGGAUCAUUUUGGUAUAAUUAUUUUGAAUUUAAAUAUUACAUCGACUUUUUAUAUCCCUAUAAUUCAACUGUUCUACUCAUACAGUAGUUAAAAUAAGGUGCGCUCACCGCAAAUGUGACUUAAAUAAAAAAUAUCACAACAAUUACGAUUAACCAAAUCGCGCGCGACUAUGUCUCGUAUGUUAAAUAGUGGCGGCAAUGCCGAACGAAUGAGACUAAAGUUAGAAGUUUUCCCAUUGGUGGAAGAAUGCAAAGGAGGUGGGAAAUAACUAUCGUUGAGAAAUUGGGAGGUUUUUUCGGUGCAUCCCGUGAUGAGGGAUUAUCGAGACGAACCGAUUGGUGCAAAUAAAACAUUAUUGCGCUUUGUCAUGAAGGUAUUGGAUAGUCAUAAACGACCCAAAAACGCAGAAGUAUUUGAAUAAAUGAGAAUUAAAAUCUAGGAAGAAAAUUGAAAAUGUGGACGAAGGGUUUGUUACAGCGGUUUCACAAGGAUUUUAAUUAUUUCUAGAUUUGAAAAAAAAAUAUAAAUACCGUAAUAAAACGAUUGAGAGGGCAGCCGCACUGAGCAUUAAAAAUAGUGAAUAUAAUUUCGAUUUAUGAAUUUAUGAACGCGGGGAAAUACGUUCUCAUUGAAUAAACUAAUUUCUGGGACAGUUAAUUUCGGAAAAAGAGGAAUGAAAGGAAAAUGAUAAGAAAUACCGAAAAUUGAAACCUCUGCGAGAUGGUAUGCAACAGAAUCAGUACUGGUAACGGUUAUAGAUAUUGAACGAGCAUUCGACAUCGCAUCAUUCCAGGGAAUAUGUGAUGCAGAAAGACGUUUUAGGUCGCGGUCACGAUAGUGUACUGGAUCCAGACCACGCCGCGGAUAAGAAUCCUCACAGCGACUUCGGGUCUGGCUACAACCAGAGCAACUGCGGGGAGGGGCUGCCCGCAAGAAGGCGUCAUCAAAGGGCCUAUUGCAGUAACGUGAUAUGAUAUAAGGGAACACCUACGGUUACGCAGACGACAUCUACAUUACUGUCAGUUCAGACCGCAGGGGUCUUCUCUACAGCAAAAUGCAGAGAGCACUAAACUGCGUCGAGGAAUCGUAUAUGAGUGCAGGGUUGAGGGUUAACCCCAACAAGACAGAGAUGUUCCGGGUCACUAGGAAGGGGAACUGGACCCUCCCUUUUCGGCUCUGAACUACGCUUCUUCAGGGAGGUCAAGUACCUGGCGGUCUGGUUGGAAUUCAAACUGGACUGGAGUGGGCACGCGCAGACCCGGUCAAACAAAAGGAGAGGCACUUUUUGGGGCUACCGCAGGAUGUUUAGGCAAGCCGGGAAGUUAAAUCCCCAGGAGGUGAAGUGGAUCGACUUAGUCGUAGUAGUUCCGUGACUUAGCUACGCCGCAUUUGUUUGGUGCCCGGCGAGGACCAAGGCCAGUGGCCAGAAGGAAGGUGGAGGGGGCGGGUUCAGGAUGGCGAGACUGCGUUGAUGCUGGUUUUGCCUUUGCUUCUUCACUAAUCGAUUAUUAUUGAAAUAGAAUUGUGUGAAACGUAGAUGAAUAAUGUCAGUCGGUAACCAAAGACAUGCGGUCAAAACCAAAAAGUUCCCAGCGACACCUCGGGUCAGUAGAUCAACGAGCUGACCCCGGAACCGAAAAUCUCAAAUCAGUCGAUCUUUGUCAAUCACAAGACGCGGUAAAGUCUAUUUAAUUGUCAGAAAUUUUCUAUCAGUAGACCUUCACCGAGUACAUCACCGCUGAGUCUAAGGACGAUUUAUCCUUAUAUUCUAUAAUAAUUUACUGUCAAUCAGUACAUCAACGGAUAGUCAGCGAUGUUAAUUUAAUACACCUCGGGAAAUAGUGUAAGUAAACCCGGUGUUAAUCUCAGGACUUUUUAGGCUAGUCCUAAAAGAUCCUUAAAUUUUUCCAUUCUACGUCCACCCUAAAUUUAGAGAAUCCCCAAACAAGAAUAUUUUAAAUAACGAGAUUGUGAUAUAAUUAGCUUGAAAUAGUUUGUUUGUUAAUCGCUCGGAAGACACACCCGCUCUUCACCCAUUCCUUACAGCGGUUGACAGAAGUAACGAAGAGCUACAACACCCUGGACCUCCAGUCACGCCGUCAUAAUAGGUUUUAUACAUUCGCAUGUAUGUAGGGUCAAAAGGAAAACAUAAAUAUCAUAGCUCAUACUUGUCAGAAUUGCGGACAGUAAAAAUGUCCGUCAAUAUUGAGUAUAAACAUAGAACGAAAAUAUAAGAUUUAAUUUGUGCUUCACAGUAUUUUCAUCCGAAAUUCAACAACUAUCGAUUGCCAAAUGAUCAAUUAUGAAUAUGACAUAAUCGAUGAUCUCGAUCAAAUCCGCCACGUUCGAUUAGUGACCGAUGUCGCUUUUUGCAUGUGAUUAAUUGUUCUUCGUGCACUGAAUAAUUAACUCUGAAGAAAAAUGCUAAGUAUACGGCGUUAAUUUGAGUAGAAGUAACAUUAAUAAGGUGAGAUUUUUAACAGCUUCCAUUUUGCGCUAGACUCCCCUACUAAAGAUUGCAAAAUUUGGUACUUACAAUUUAUAUUUAAAUAAAAUUCUAGGCAAGUAUGUUCAGCCCUGAAUAAAAUACCUCAAAUGCAUCGCACUAUAUCUGGUCACCCAAUAGCAUCCAAUGCGUCAAAAGCCGAGAAAAGUGCGGUUUUAGGGGACGACCUGAGAUUGGCAACACCAGCCCGAGGCGAGCGGCGGUAACACGUCGUCCUUUGGACGGAACUUUUCUCGCCGUGGCUUAAGGGGUUAUUCUCAUCUCAUAGUCGCCGACGUGUGGUAAGCGAUUGUCUACCAGGCUUUCAACUUUAAACGCGUUUUUCUCGAAUCAUCAUUUUCUGAAACGGUCAAGGUCCUACAAGAAAAAUUCAGACAACAUGAACAGCCGCUAUCACCUUGACCAGUGAACUACCUUUUUUUGUUGGGGACUACUUUGACUUAAAAAAUAUAUAUGUUAAAAAUGUAAAAAAUGAAAAAAAAAUUUUUUUUCGUAUAUUUCAAAAUACAAAUAAAAAUAUAUUGAAAAAUCAACAUGAUUGAAGUUUGUUGUCGCAUAAAAAAAAUUCCGAAAAAGUGGUAAAAUAUAGGCGUUCACAUGAGAAUAACCCCUUAAAUACAAUUUUUCCGGACGUGCGGUUCCAUUUUUUAUGAAUACAAUGUUUAUACUAUAACCCUGAAGAUAUCAAAAAAUUUGGUGGUCAAGUUGUAAAACGAGAAAAGUGAUUUUUCCCCAUUCAAUUUAUUAUAUCAAUAGAAUUGUAAUCAAGUGCCCGGGAGAGACCCUUAGAGUUGGCUUGUUGAAAGAAUCAUAGUCUUUUUGUUCCCACCGCCACAUAAAAUUAUCAUAACAUUUUAUACAUGUCACUUGCAAUUUAUCAGGUAGAGUAUAAUAAAAAUAAAUUUAUGCUUCUUCUAGUAGUUCCCGAGAUAUAUCAGUCAUCACUGGUCAUAUGUUGGGGAAUAUAUUCGUCCAACUCGUAGUUAAUUACACGUCACAUAUUUUAGGCUAAUAAUUUCGAAAAAAUUAGGAGGACACGACGUCUUAGGCAGUAAAAUUUGUGAACAAGUAGACUUUGAUUCAGGAAAUAACUAAUACGGACAAUGAAGACCGUCUUUUCUAGGCAAGGAGUUAUUUUUCAGGACGGGAGAACAGAUCAUCGUUUUGUACCUCUAAACUAUCGAGAAAAGUACUAUUUUUCGACCUCGAAAUCGGAAUAUUUUUCAAGCCCUACUCCGUUGUCUGAUGACGAAAAUUUCUAAUUUCUCGUUUAUCCAUCGCUCUCGGAAUCGUUCAAUAAGGCAUCAAAUAACAAUUAUUAUAGCUGUUCAACAGUAGUGGGAAUGAUUUCGGUCUACCGCUUAACAAAAGGUGCCUGAAUAUUGCGGAAUAUGAUUUACGAUAUGAACAAGAACAGGGACGGAACGAAGGCGGUACUCCGGCUACACUCUCUUCUCAUCAGUUGAAAUGUGACAUUUUCCGCGGAUAGUCCUGAGGGGGUUGGCCAAGUAUUUAUGUAUAUACAUAACAGAGCACCAUUGCAUGUGACGUGUGAGAAAAUGCCAUGAAAUGCGCUCCCAUUCUGACCCGAGAGACACGAAUAAUAAAAAAAAUGCAAAAAGGGUGCGAAGAGGAAGAGUGGGUACUGUAUAUAACACAUAGUUGCAAAAACAGUUUGAAAUAAUUUCGAAAAGUGAUGCAGUGUAUCCGGAGUCAUAGUUCAGUUGAAUCAACUGUAUACAGGGUGUCCCAUUUCAAAUAAUUCACCUAGAUAUCUCCUGAGGGGAGCAAGUGACAGGAAAUAUUGGUAGACAUUAGUUGUAUAGUGACGAGGGGGACAUUUGGCACAUGCAUUUUUUCAACUUUCAAGCUCAUGCUUGCAAGCUGCGAGACAAAGGAGUUUUUUAAAGUGACUGUUGGGAUCCUGUAUGUGUGCACGCGAUUAUUACAUAUUUGCAGUAUCGUGGCAUUGGAAGCAAUACUUAUUAAAUUGUAUAAAAUUCCAAAGCUCAUCUCCUAGGACUUCUCGGGUGGAAAUUUAACUCAGGUCUGCAUCAAGUUCAGAUCAAGUCAGACCUCAUGUAUAAUCAGGUACUGAUCAGAAGACUGGAUCAUAACUUGAUCAGGCAUGUAAUGCUUUCACUCGUUCUGGACUUGAUCAUUGGAUCUGCUCCGAACUUGAUCAAUAUGACCAAAUGUGAAUUUGAUCAGACCCAACUGACCAGAAUUUGAUGAGGCUAGACAGCCAGAACUUGAUCAGAAGUUAAUCCCGUCAAACAGAUCCGGAUUUGAUCGAAUGAACACUCGGACUAUGCUGGACGGUGGGUGUUGCGUCGCAACAUGUUCAUAGUAAUGUGUAUGUCAUCUUUUAACCAUUUUUUCAUUACUGACCCGUUCGGGGAAAUUUCGACAAAGAGCCUUUUUCCUGAAACGGAAUUUAUUGAGUAAAAAAAUUCCCUAUUUUUCUUCUUUUCCCCGAAUAAGUCGUUGUAGCCUGAACAAGCGGUCAACACGUGUGCGCCACUCACUGUUCACGCGUAUCUAGGCGUUUCCCCCUUUUUUUGUACAUAGACAUUUAUCCUCGGUACUCUGCCUAGCAGAUGACAAUUGUAAGCACAAUGCUUGAUUUCCGCUCAAGUUGAACAAAUCAGAAUCUGAUCUGAAUAAUCGCAAGCAGACGGACUUCAGUAUAAGAUCUGGCCCAUCUCAUCCGAACAUGAUCACGGUGAUGACAACUGAACGGACCCUAGGUUCAGAUCAAGCUCACCAUAUCAGAAUCUGAUCAGAGUAAUUCCGAUCAGAUGGAGUAAAUCAAAAACGGAUCCGUUCUUCAUCAAGUCUCGCCUGAGCAGUUGAACCUGGCUCCCACUAGAUCAAGUUCUGAUCAAACCUCAGGCUUGCCUGACAUAAUUUCCACUCAGGAUAUUGUAAAAGAAAUGUUGGCUGCAUGCGUCCUUGACUUACGCCAUGCCAUAAGGUCCCGUUUGAAACCAGAGGUCAGGUAAUACCAUAACCUGACUAUUAACUACUUUAGUUUGAGUUAGUUUAUGCAACCAAAUAAUAAUAAAAUUCAAACUUAAUGUGGGUCCCUCCUCCCAGAAGAAGUAGGCGAGACCCUCAAUGGGUUUGUAAAAUUAGUUUUGAGUUAGUUACAUUCGAACAUUCGAAGGAAGAAGUAGUCUCUUCUAAUGUAUGGUCCACAAUAGGAACUUGGUACAAUAAACUUGAUAUCUCACAAGUGCAACAUUCCCUUUAUUAUUUCAAGGCACAUCCGUCUAAUUUCGCGAGCUCAGCAUAUACACGAUUUCAACGAAUGUGUGAAGCUUUCGUAUGAUACGCCUAUACGCUUCUAAACAGUGACAAUCCCCUUUUUCAUCUCAAUGAAGUUCGUUCGGCUUGGUAAGCUGUUUUCAGAUACCUCAUCAUUCAUGUCAAUUUCUGCGUUUUUACGCAGAGAGUGCAAUGAAUUAAUUCUGCUACAAAACUGAAGAUUGAGGUGGAGCGCCUCAUUUUGCUCGAACUAUGAGGGAUCAUCUGAAUGGAGCCUUUCCGAAUCGUUUGAUUGUUCGGGGUCUUCCCAUUUCAUGGCGUCCACGGAUCACCAGCCCUUACGCCACUUGAUUACUACCUGUGGGGUUUCGUCAAAGACAUUUAUGUGAAUCGGCCCACCACUCCGACAGACUUACGCCCCAAUUCUGCCAAGGGUUGUCGGGAAUUUUCGCCCCCGAAUUCAGUUGUGCUUGCAAGUCAACGGUGGCAACAUUGAACAACUCAGGAACUCAUGAUCGCAUAAACCUUCACACCUGCUUGCUCUAUUUUCCUUUUUUUAGCCCAGGGGAUUUAGCAGACUUUACCUCCACGUGGUGCAUCGUGAGUCGCCCUAAGAAAGUCGGAAUCCUUAGUUUGAAAUGCCAGAAUUGAUAUGAAUGAUGAGGUAUCUGAAAAUAACUCGUCAAGGCGAACGAGUUUCAUUGGGAUGAAAAUGUCAUUGUCAUUUGAAGAAAAGCUCCCAGUGCUUGCAGGUUGCAAGCAUGACCUUGAAAGCUGGAAAAGUGCAUGCAUCAAAUAGCCCCGCCGAAAUCUUAUAAUUAAUGUCUACAAACAUUUCUUGUCACUUACCCCCACCCCAGAUAUUAGAUGGAUUAUUUCAGAUGGGACACCCUGUAUGUAUGUACUCUUCGCACAUUAACACGUAAUGGUAUAUCAUUUCAUAGCAGAUAUUUGAUCUAUUAUCGUUAAAUUAUCUCUAGGGUACUAUUGUAUUAUCGGCAUGAAAUUACUGGUUAAAAUGGAGGGGGCGGGCAAGAGACCACGUGUAAGUGUAAAUAUAACAAUAAUGAUGAUAAUAGAAAUUUGGAUGAAGCCUGAAUUUACCUAAAAUAAAACCUGGUCCACGGCUGGAUACGAAGGAUUGGUCCUAUGUCUGAAACUGGGACUUGACCCACGUUACACUCCACUGGAAUAUCAGGAUAGGAUCAGGCCCGGUUGCCAGGCCUCUGCCAAGUUCACUAGGUUUGGUCCAGACCUGGGCUGGGCGUUAAUUCUCACCUGGAGAACCACUUAAACUACGUUUCCUCAUGUUUUUCCAUGGCCACUCAGUUAUAUAUGUCCAAUCUCUCAUAAUAAGGAGCUGGAUAAGUAAAUACUGGUCAUAAAGAAGGAUUAAAGCGUCAGGCUGGUGCAGCGAGGACUGUGGGUUUGAUUCCCGGUCACUGCGACCCAUUUUUCACGCUUCCCCUGGUACGAAUGGAAUUCCCUAUCGUGGGUCUGGGUUCAACCGAUGGUGAUGCCAAUCCAGGGUCAACGUUAUUUUUAUAAGUCACCCCGAAGCCCAGCAGUGAGCCUAGUUCAUAGCUAGGUUCAAACUUGUUACCAGGCAUGGAACCUUCUAGAGUGGGUCUGGCUUCACCCAACGGUCAUAUCGAUGGUGUCAUAAAAUUAUGGAAAAUUGAUUGGAGUCGAUUACUUCGUAUUUUUGUUUAAAGAAUCAACAAUUGCCGUAUGGUAAUGGUUGAUUAAUUUUAAGUUAAUUAAGUAAAUAGUAAAUAUUAUGUUUAAGUAUUUGAUAGCAGAUUUUUAUGACAAUGUUAUAAAGGGAAAUCAAAUGAAUGUGUAUUGAUUUUGAUUUCCAGUCUAUUAUUGACGCCGGGCUUCGCUUUCCAUUAAAUUGGAUCAGGCCUGCUUUAGAUUGAUGGGCCUAUGUUGGGCCUCACCCUUGGACCAACCUGAAGUUCCCAAGCUUAAUCCAAUUUUGCACUCCCAGAAUAUCCCACGCUAGGUCCAAGCUAUGACGUCAGUCUAGAAACAGUCUGAUCCAAUUAUUAAUUUUUACCUGGGAACGAGCUUACAUACCUUGUUUAUUUUUGGAAUUUCUCCGACUCCCUAUAACCUUUAUUAAUAUUCCACAUAUUAACAAUUUACCAAUAAUUACAACCACAUAAAAUAUUACAAAUAUUACCAUUGCACAAAUGAGCGAACAUUUAAAUCUUUCCAAGAAUGUCUCCAUUACAAGCUCAUCAAAUUCUCUAAUGACGCCACUAGCGUUCGCCACUCAAGAACGAUUUCGUAAAAUUAAACAGGAUUACUGACUUGGAUUGUUCUCCUGUCUUUCUUAAUUCCAAAAAAUUUCACCUAUUCUUCAAAUCUUGCAAAAUCGAGAACAGUAGCAAUGUUGAGAGUCCUGAGACUAAGAUAAUCAUCUCCCUUUUUAUGUACAUAUAACGGUUCGUUUCGCUCUUGCACACGUGCAAUACUUGAAUUUCUAUAAAUCUUUAAUUACCCCACCUGCCAGCUAACAUGAAUAAGUUUCCCACAAAAUAUUAUUUUUACUUAUUCUUUCCUCUGACUAUUAUAUUCACCGAGUGUAUCUCAUAUAGGAAGCACUUUCACGCUCUUCAAGGAAGUUUCUCAUUGGACUUGGAGUGAACUUUUAUCUAGAGUGCAACGUCUGCCCAUUGAAUAUAAUGGGAGGAGACCGUGGGGAGGGGGAGGGGGGAGGAGGAGGAUUGAAACAGUAGGAAAUGGGAUAUAUUCUUUGAAGGCGGAAAUAAGGGUAGAAGACAGAUAACUAGCGGUACGACAGAGGCUUGUGGCGGUAGCCAUAUGACAGUUAGCCAUUAUAUGUUUUUUUUUUUCAAUUUUAAUUUCUAACAAUUACAGUGAUAGUAUGCUUCAGAAGGGAUUUGACCAAAUUCAUUUUCUCAUAAACUAUGACAUUAAUAAACAAAUGACACAUAAAUAAGGGGUGUAUAUUUACAUCGCUUUCUAUGGUGGCCCCUGAGACGAGUAUUUUGAAAAAAAAUUGAGAUCCUCGCAGUAAUUUUUGAGAUAUUGAAGAAAAACGAAAUUUACUAAAAUUGUUUUAUGUCAGGAACUAUUAGGUUGAUUGAGCUGAAAUAGUGCAUCAAGGAGAAAGUUAAUGAUAACUAUCCUAAGUUGAAAAUUCAGAUUUUUAGCUACAAAUUUUACUGUAUUUUUUACAAUUUUCUCAAAUUUACUGAAAAAUAUCAUUUUUUGGUAAUUUAUAUCAUUCUAGAUAACUUGUAACUGAAAUUAGAUAGAUAGAAGUAUCCGUCGGAGACAAGACUUUUAUCGGGAAGCAAUAAAUUAACAAAGAUAUUGGCCUAGUAGUUGAUAUACAUAUAAGUAUGACUUGACAGCUCGAACUACUAUCCCCAUUGGUUCAGAUGUUCAUCUCGACAUCUGGCCGUAUUAGAAUACCUAAAACGA